CCUCUUCUGAGCUGUCUGGGCUGGCUCCUCUUUCCAAAACAAUUCAGGUUUGACAGCGACUCAGACUCAGCUCCAACUUUUGCAUUCUGAAGCAAGGGUGGCUGAGAUGGAAAGAGCGCUUCGUUCUGGAAGGAAGCAACGUUCCAGGUCAAGCUGAGCCUGCCAAACACAGACCCUUACGAUGGUUUUAGAAGAAAUCAAGACAAGUCUUAUCACGUGGUUUUCCUACGCCUUGAUUCCUUGUUUGCUUGUGGAUGGAGUGGCUGUUCUGCCUGCCCCUCAGAACCUCUCUGUACAAUCGACCAAUAUGAAGCAUGUCUUGACAUGGAGCCCAGUGAUCGUGCCUGAAGAAAUAAUAUACUAUUCUGUCGAGUACCAGGGAGAGUACGAGAGCCUGUACAUGAGCCACAUCUGGAUUCCCAGCAGCUGGUGCUCGCCCACCCAAGGGCCCGAGUGUGACAUCACUGAUGACAUCACUGCCACUGUGCCGUACAAUCUCCGGGUCAGGGCCACCCUGGGCUCACAGACCUCAGCCUGGAGCACCCUGAAGCACCCCUUUAACCGAAACUCAACCAUCCUCACCCCACCUGGGAUGGAGAUCACCAAGGAUGGCUUCCACCUGGUUAUUAAGCUGGAAGACCUGGGUCCCCAGUUUGAGUUCUUUGUGGCCUUCUGGAGGAGGGAGCCCAGUGCCAAGGAACACGUCAAGCGGGUGAGGCUCCGGGGCAUCCCAGUGCACCUGGAAACCAUGGAGCCCGGGGCCACAUACUGCGUGAAGGCCCGGACGUUCGUGAAGGCCAUCGGAAGGCAGAGCGCCUUCAGCCAGACGGAAUGUGUCAAGGUGCAGGGAGAGACCCUGCCGCUGGCGCUGGCCCUGUUUGCAUUCGUGGGCUUCAUGCUGAUCCUCGUGGUUGUACCGCUCUCCGUCUGGAAGAUGGGCCGGCUGCUCCGGCACUCCUGUUGCCCCGUGGUGAUGCUCCCCGACACCUUGAUUUUAACAUGGACAAUUUCUCUGAGUAUAUGUAUUUCCCACAGUGCUGUGUAAGAAACAGUUCGCUAGUGUCCAUCAAAGCCUGAGCAGGUUCUGGAACUGCACGUCACCACCACCAUCUCCCUGCUCUCAGCCUUGACUUUAGUACAGCAUGGCUGUACUUCAGCAUUUGCAUUUAUAGAUAAUCCUCCAAACUAUUAAAAAGCAACUGCCAGCCAACCUUGCAAAAUCCAUGCAUCUUUCCAGUUAAACCAUGGGAAAUUACCAAGUGGAAAUCCUUGACAAGGCUUCAAAAAGUCCUGUUGAGUUUAAAAUAACCAGUUCACCCCAGAAGCUAAUCAGCUGCAGAAGGGAAGAGGUGGAAGCCUGUGUGGCAGCUGAGCUGUCUUCUGAGGGGCUCCUCAGGGCCUGGAUCUAGCAGAUGAAGCUGAGGAACCUGGUUUGCAGGACACGGGAGCCGUGAGAGGAAAGGCCAUGCUUCUGUCUUCCUCCAAGGACAAAGGACAAGAGAAGAAGAGCCUGCUGUGUCCAUGUCUAGAAGCAACUGUCAGAAGCAGAGUGGUGUGGCCCAUGGAGCGCUGAGAGGGGGUCGGGGAUGUGACCUCCAGCACUGGAUCUCUCUGCUGUCCACUAGUGGGAUGACCCUGGGGAAAGUGACUUAGUCUCUCUGUCCCUCAGUUUUCGCAUCUAUACAAUGGGGGGAUUAACCACACAACCAUUAAAACAUAUAUAUAUUCAUAUCAUCUUUCCACCACUUGCAGAGCUAUAGGGAAAUUGGCAACACUGUAUAGGUUCUGCUUCUCUGAAGAGCAGUAGAUACACAUGUAACAAGAAUAAUUGGAUGGGCCUUGCCUGGUGGUGCAGUGGUUAAGAAUCUGCCUGCCAAAGCAGAGGACAUGGGUUCGAUCCCUGGGCCGGGAAGAUCCCAUGUGCUGUGGAGCAAUUAAGCCUGUGCGCCACAACUACUGAGCCUGCACUCUAGGGCCCGCUUGCUACAACUACUGAGCCUGCAUGCUGCAACCACUGAAGCCUGUGCACCUAGAGGCUGUGCUCUGCAACAAGAGAAGCCACCGCACUGAGAAGCCGGUGUACCACAAUGAAGAGUAGCCCCUGCUUGCCACUAGAGAAAAGCCCGGGUGCAGUAACGAAGACCCAAACGCAGCCAAAAAAAAAAAAGUAAUUAAAAAAAAAAAAAGAAUAAUCCUAUACACCCACUGGCCUGGAGAGGCCUAGAGAUCCCACUUGCCUAGAGGAAACCUGAAGAGGAAAGGUACAACGGGGUUGAUUUCACUUCAAGCCAAAUGACUGAACUGCUCAGCUAGCUCUACAAUCCAUGACCUGGGAGGCCACAGCCCCACUGAAAAUGGGUGAAAAUGGGCCGCGCACGGAUGUUGCAGGCAUGUGAAAUGCUGUGCAAGGUAAAUAGUGUGUGUGUGCACCCUGAGGACAGCAGCUACAGUGCAUGUACAUGACCAGAUGAGGCUGUGGAAGGAUGUUGAUCAGAAGUGUGAUGUUUGCUGUGUUCCUUUUUCCUGUACAGUUGUUACAGUACAGAAUGAAAAAUAAAAAGGGUCACCUUCGGUAA